GCAGUCGCCGCGGUAAUACGAAGGGUGCAAGCGUUACUCGGAAUUACUGGGCGUAAAGCGUGCGUAGGUGGUGGUUUAAGUCCGUUGUGAAAGCCCUGGGCUCAACCUGGGAAUUGCAGUGGAUACUGGGUCACUAGAGUGUGGUAGAGGAUAGUGGAAUUUCCGGUGUAGCAGUGAAAUGCGUAGAGAUCGGAAGGAACAUCUGUGGCGAAGGCGACUAUCUGGGCCAACACUGACACUGAGGCACGAAAGCGUGGGGAGCAAACAGGAUUAGAUACCCCUGUAGUCCCUGUCUCUAUACA
rnacentral:rRNA from 1 species